GACGAACGCUGGCGGCGUGCUUGACACAUGCAAGUCGAACGGAAAGGCCCCUUUGGGGGUACUCGAGUGGCGAACGGGUGAGUAACACGUGAGUAACCUGCCCUUGACUUCGGGAUAACUUCAGGAAACUGGGGCUAAUACCGGAUAGGAAUCCUUGCUGCAUGGUGGGGGUUGGAAAGCUUCGGCGGUUUUGGAUGGACUCGCGGCUUAUCAGCUUGUUGGUGGGGUAGUGGCUUACCAAGGCUUUGACGGGUAGCCGGCCUGAGAGGGCGACCGGCCACAUUGGGACUGAGAUACGGCCCAGACUCCUACGGGAGGCAGCAGUGGGGAAUAUUGCACAAUGGGCGGAAGCCUGAUGCAGCAACGCCGCGUGCGGGAUGACGGCCUUCGGGUUGUAAACCGCUUUCAGCAGGGGCGAAGCUUGUGGUGACGGUACCUGCAGAAGAAGCACCGGCUAACUACGUG
rnacentral:rRNA from 1 species